UACGGAGGGUGCAAGCGUUAAUCGGAAUUACUGGGCGUAAAGCGUGCGUAGGUGGUUUGUUAAGUUAGAUGUGAAAUCCCUGGGCUCAACCUAGGAACUGCAUUUAAAACUGGCAAACUAGAGUAUAGGAGAGGAAAGUGGAAUUUCAGGUGUAGCGGUGAAAUGCGUAGAUAUCUGAAGGAACAUCAAUGGCGAAGGCAGCUUUCUGGACUAAUACUGACACUGAGGUACGAAAGCGUGGGUAGCAAACAGGAUUAGAUACCCUGGUAGUCCACGCCGUAAACGAUGACAACUAGCCGUUGGGGGGAUUUACCUCUUAGUGGCGAAGCUAACGCGUUAAGUUGUCCGCCUGGGGAGUACGGCCGCAAGGCUAAAACUCAAAGGAAUUGACGGGGACCCGCACAAGCGGUGGAGCAUGUGGUUUAAUUCGAUGCAACGCGAAGAACCUUACCUGGUCUUGACAUACAGAGAACUUUCCAGAGAUGGAUUGGUGCCUUCGGGAACUCUGAUACAGGUGCUGCAUGGCUGUCGUCAGCUCGUGUCGUGAGAUGUUGGGUUAAGUCCCGUAACGAGCGCAACCCUUAUCUUUAUUUGCCAGCGCGUCAUGGCGGGAACUAUAAAGAGACUGCCGGUGAUAAACCGGAGGAAGGCGGGGACGACGUCAAGUCAUCAUGGCCCUUACGACCAGGGCUACACACGUGCUACAAUGGGAAGGACAAAGGGUCGCAACCUCGCGAGAGCAAGCUAAUCUCAUAAACCUUUUCGUAGUCCGGAUCGGAGUCUGCAACUCGACUCCGUGAAGUCGGAAUCGCUAGUAAUCGUAGAUCAGAACGCUACGGUGAAUACGUUCCCGGGUCU
rnacentral:rRNA from 1 species